AAAAACUUAACCAAAAGUAAAAACGAUAAUUAAAGUGCACAACGGAAAAUAAAGAGUGUAGGGAAGAAGACAACCCGUGCCUACAUCCAGUCCCCAAGUGACUUGCGGUCCUUGAGAUUUCUUUUCAACCUUGUAAAAACCUUUACAAGCAAAGAUCCACAAGGGAUGUACCCUUCCUUGUUCUCUUUGAACAACCUAGUGGAUGUACCCUCCACUAGAACUGAUCCACAAGAGAUGUACCCUCUCUUAUUCUCAGUCACAACAACCCAAGUAGAUGUACCCUCUACUUGUACCACAAAGGAUGUACCCUCCAAUGUGUUAAGACAAAGUUCUCAGGCGGUUAGUCCUUCGAAACUUUGUGAAGGGGAAACAAAAGAAUUCUCAGGCGGUUAGUCCUUUG
rnacentral:lncRNA from 1 species